rnacentral:rRNA from 1 species
UACGUAGGGGGCUAGCGUUGUCCGGAAUCAUUGGGCGUAAAGCGCGUGUAGGCGGUUCGGUAAGUCCGCUGUGAAAGUCGGGGGCUCAACCCUCGAAUGCCGAUGGAUACUGCCGGGCUCGAGUCCGGAAGAGGCGAGUGGAAUUCCUGGUGUAGCGGUGGAAUGCGCAGAUAUCAGGAGGAACACCAAUUGCGAAGGCAGCUCGCUGGGACGUUACUGACGCUGAGACGCGAAAGCGUGGGGAGCAAACAGG